UGGGCGAGAGUGAAUGAGCAGGCCACCUGAGCGCCAUGUUUGAAAUCGCUGAGUUUGUGAUUCGAGCAGCAGAGGAGGACUCACCCAAUCAUGGCGUCUCAGCGUUGGUUUGUUUGGCUGCUGGCGUCCUUUAACUAAGGAGGAAAAAAUGGCGUCUGGAACUAGUAGCAGAUCGAUUAUGGAUAUACUAAGACUAAGAUCUACAAUGAAGCUGAGGAUCGCUUCAAGCUGCCUGGGGGGUCCGCCCGACCCAACAAAGGUAGGUUUGAUCAAGCACCUGUUCGAUGGCGGGCCCAGAAGACUUCUCAGGGUAGGAGCUGAUGCUAGUUUGAUGCUACCGCGUUUGACUUUUGCUGUGCUGGUUUAGUUUGAUUCUCUGCUGAGAGUCUACAAACUGAGAAGGAUUCAGCUGUUGAAAAUCCUUCAGCUGCUGUGGUCAUGUGACCUGUGAUGUAACUAACAUGUUUGAAUCUGAAGUUCAUGGUUGACAUGCAAGAAAGAUGGCUGCCAAGGAUUUGGUAAAUACAGGUUAAGAGGUUGCAGGCAGGGAUUCAGUUUAGGCUUAGUAAAUAUUACUAAAAUAAACCUUCAUAUUAUACCUACAUAGUGAUAAACAUACAUACUUUUUUAUUUUUUGUAUCUAUUUACGCAAACUAUUUCAAAAACAGGGUCCAUACUUUCAUAAUAAAAUAACUCAAACAAAUUUUAUUUGCGUUGAACAAUUUAAAUUUACGUGAAAACCGAUUAUAUUUUUGCGCCAAAACACUGCGCGGCCUUGCGAUUUCAUUUCUUCUGGACGAAGACUCAAGCAAUUUCAUUUCUUCUUGACGAAGACUCAAGCGAUUUCAUUUCUUCUGGACGAAAACUCAAGCGAUUUCAUUUCUUCUGGACAAAGACUCAAACAAUUUCAUUUCUUCUGGAUGACAACUUGCUGCCUCCGGCAAUUUCAUUUCUUCCGGACGAUGACGGUCAACAGAGAUCUGCUGGAGCUGCAAGUUGGAUGUCACAGAGGCAAUGUUCACACUGUCUAAUUCACCACCUCUUAUUUGCAGGUUUAAGCUGAAAUUCACUUAAUUUUCCUUCCAGAGAUGAUCCACUGGGACCUGUCUUUAAGUGUUUUUAACCCAGUUUUUCUCCUAGACUCAGCUACCUGCUGACCCAUUUGUUGCACCUAACAUUUUCUUUCUCCCUUCAGCCUUUAAAAUCCUAAUCAUCCACCAAAGGAGCUUGUACUUCAACUAACUCUAUUUUUUCCUAUAGAAACACUCCUGGAGCAGCUCUUUUUCUUUCUCUGCUCUGUCCUUUCAAAUUCCCCCGGGGGUAGUGACAGGUGACCUUUCAUAAUGAACCAACCUAUGGUUCUGCUGGAGGUUUCUUCCUGUUAAAGGGAAGUUUACCUCUCCACUGUCACUGCAUGGAUCCUUAGUAUGAUGCAUUGUAACGCUUUCUUUUUUGGAAGUUCUUCCUGUUAAAGGGAAGUUUUUCCUCUCUACUGUCAACACAUGCAUCCUCUAUAUGAGGCAUUGCUUUAGUUUUUAUCUAACUCUUAACCACUAUUUGAUAAAUGCAGUUUUUUUUUUUUCUUGGCAAGUCUUCCUGUUAAAGGGAAGUUUUUUUCUCUCUACUGUCCACACAUGCAUCCUCUAUAUGAGGCAUUGCUUUAGUUUUUAUCUAACUCUUAACCACUAUUUGAUAAAUGCAGUUUUUUUUUUCUUGGGAAGUUUUUCAUCUCCACCAUCACCACAUACAUCCUUAGUAUCGUGGUGGAGAAUGGUUUUGAGCUCACAGUUGAGAAUUUAAGGUCUUAUCAACACCACAUGGCGUACGGAUGAAGAAGAUGUAGAAGACUAUCAACGGUUUUUGUUGAUAUGGAGACUGAAGACACCAGAUUGCUUCAGACUGGUAGGUGGUAUGGAUAUCAAGAUGGUCGCUUUGGCGCAGGGCUCUAAACUCACCAGCAGGAAAUGUGGUAUGCUACUUGCUGCAGCCACUGCUCAAGGCUCUGAAGUCAUCGGAUGAGUUCAAGGAAAUUGGUAACGAUGGAGUACCACGAAGCGGUGAAUCCAUUCCAGGUAAAAUCCUUGUUUCAGGAAAAACACCCUAGGCUAUGUGAAAGGUAGGAGUUUGGCUCUUUGGUACAGCAGCCAGAACUGAUCUUGUAUUCCGAACAGCAGGCAAAAGGUGUGUGGAAAAUGGGCCCGAGCGGUGGGCAAAGGUGUGUUGGGGAAAAUGGGCCCGAGCGGCGGGCAAAGGUGUGUUUGUGUGGGAAAUGGGCCCGAAUGGUGGGCAAAGGUGUGUGGGGGAAAAUGGGCCCGAGCAGCGGGCAAAGGUGUUUACGGGAUCCAAUUUAAAGGUCACUAAGAAUUUAGCGAUGACAAAAAACAAGACCAAUGAUCCAUAGGGAAAAAGCCAUUCAGACACCCUGACCAAACUCCCCCCGACUGCACCCGACCAGAGACAGAAAAGGGUUAGACCUGGUACCUGCACUUGUCAUGUUGUCCUUCAGGAAUCCUCCAGGAUCAUCUGGUUUUCGUGUCUGAUUUCACUCCAUCGCCCUCCCUGGCUCAACGGAAUCAGCAGUCUUCCUCAAGAAAUUCUGCAGAAUCCUCCUGGAUCAUCUUGUUUUUGUCCCCGAUAUCGCCCUUCAUCGCCGGCCCCCCAUUGACCAAUGGAAAAAGGCCUUCAUCGCCCACCCCUGCUGAUGGAUGACCCUACCAUCGGAAUCAGCAGUCUUCCUCAAGAAAUGCUGCAGUCAUUGUCCAACCAUGGACCAGCGAAAAAGACCUUUAUGGCCCCCCGCACCAACGGACGGAAAAGACCUUCAUCGGCCCCGCCCACUGAUGGAUGACCUUGGUGACCCUACCACCGGACUUAGCAGGUUUUCUUCCAGGUGAGCAGGAAUCCUCCUGGAUCAUCUCAUUUUCUUCUCUGAUUUCGCCCUUCAUCGCCACCGCUGCCACUAAUGGAACAGGCCUUCAUCUCAUCGCAUCUGCAUCAGUCUUUUUUCUUUUUUUUUUGGACAAUUUUGUUUAGAGACUUUUUGAUUAAUUUUUUAUGUUGGCUGUUAACUUUUUGUCUUCUCAGUUAUUCUCUGUAUAGAAGCUUCACUUGAUUCUGACUGGCUUUGGUUCCUUCCUGGAGGAGGGCAUUGGCUGACAUGAUGCUGCUAUCACCUAACCGUUCUCCAUCUCCUGCUGUUAACUUUUCACUUCCAUGAACAUCGAAAGUUCUCCCGAUCAGUUGACCUAUUGCUGUGUCUCUGCUCUGUCUCGUCUCAGCUCCAGUCGGUUGUCGGCUGCUAGUACUGAGCCCGGUUCUAGUUCUGCUGGAGGUUUCUUCCUGUUGGAGGGGAGUUCUUCCUCGCCACUGUCGCCACAUGCAUUCUUGGUAUGAGUGAUUGCUGUAGAGUCAACGACCCAACUCAAGUGAUUUACUGUCGCCUCCUACUGGUCCAGGAGGAGUGAAUGCUGCGAGUAAUGACUCCAUGCAAUCUGUUGAGUUUCCUUGUGGUACAAACCUUUUAAACUACUUUAAUAAUUAGCUGAGCUUAUUGUACUGGUAACUAAUACCAAUUGGAAUAUGUGAUUGGACUAAAAUUAUUCUGAAGUGUAUUGAGAUGACAUCUGUUGUGAAUUGGCGCUAUAUAAAGUUGAACACUUAAACCAACAAAUGUGCCCCACCAACAACCAAUAUAAAAAAACACAAAAACCAAUAUAAAAAAACACAAAAACCACUAUAAAAACUGUUCAAAAACCAAUACAAAACCCUAAUUAACUAUACAAAAACUGUUCAAAACCCUCAAAAAAAUACAAAAAUCCCCAAAUAAAAACAGUUGAAAACCCCAAACCAACAACUAAACCUCCAAUUAAACAGUAAAAUGUUAAUUCACAACAGUGUUGUCAAGGCAUUUUACAAAGCCAUUUCAAUUCAGUCAUAGAUCACAGUUGAUCCUACUUAUUAAUGUAUUAGGUUCAGUUAAUCAUUAAAGUAGUUUAAAAAGUUUGUACCACAAGGAAAUUCAACAGAUUGCAUGGAGUCAUUACUCGCAGCAUUCACUCCUCCUGGACCAGUAGGAGGCGACAGCAAAUCACUUGAGUUGAGUCGUUGACUCUACAGCAAUCACUCAUACCAAGAAUGCAUGUGGCGACAGUGGCGAGGAAGAACUCCCCUCCAACAGGAAGAAACCUCCAGCAGAACUAGAACCGGGCUCAGUACUAGCAGCCGACAACCGACUGGAGCUGAGACGAGACAGAGCAGAGACACAGCAAUAGGUCAACUGAUCGGGAGAACUUUCGAUGUUCAUGGAAGUGAAAAGUUAACAGCAGGAGAGUGGGAACGGUUCGGUGAUGGCAGCAUCAUGUCAACAACCCAUGCAAGGGCAGGAACCACAGCCAAGGGGAUUUGUGUAAACUAAAAGGUAUAUACUGUUUUAUCUAUUUAUGCAUUUAACUUUUGUUUUUUGGUUAGUUGUUGUAGAUAUAAAGGCCUUAAUGCCAGUAUUGUCUGUUUUUCUUUCCAUUGUAGUAUUGUGAUAUUUGUCCUUGUUAAAAAUCCUUUGUGAUGUUUGUUUAAAAUAAAGUAGAAAAAAGCCUGUAAGGAAACAGAACCAAGCUGAUUGAAGGGAUCCAUUUUAAUACCGUCAGAACAGUGAUGAACAAACACCAAAGUGCCACCUUCAGGCCUCUCUCCAGAUCGACUAAAUAAAUCUUUCUGGUUUUAUUUUU